rnacentral:rRNA from 1 species
UGCCAGCCGCCGCGGUAAUACGGAGGGUGCAAGCGUUAAUCGGAAUUACUGGGCGUAAAGCGCGCGUAGGCGGCUAUUUAAGUCGGAUGUGAAAUCCCCGGGCUCAACCGUUGAACUGCCUCUGAUACUGUCGGUCUUGAGUCCGUUAGGGGAUGGUGGAAUUCCUGGUGUAGCGGUGAAAUGCGUAAAUAUCAGGAGGAACACCGGUGGCGAAGGCGACCAUCUGGGACGGAACUGACGCUGAUGAACGAAAGCUAGGGUAUCAAACGGGAUUAGAUA